UCAAAUUUGAAAUCUGGCCCCCUCGGGGUCCGAGUUGUAAUUUGCAGAGGGUGCUUUGGCGUUGGCAGCGGUCUAAGUUCCUUGGAACAGGACAUCGCAGAGGGUGAGAAUCCCGUAUGUGGUCGCAUGCCUCCGCCGUGUAAAGCCCCUUCGACGAGUCGAGUUGUUUGGGAAUGCAGCUCUAAAUGGGAGGUAAAUUUCUUCUAAAGCUAAAUACCGGCCAGAGACCGAUAGCGCACAAGUAGAGUGAUCGAAAGAUGAAAAGCACUUUGGAAAGAGAGUCAAACAGCACGUGAAAUUGUUAAAAGGGAAGCGCUUGCAGCCAGACUUGCCUGUAGUUGCUCACCCGGGCUCCUGCCCGGGGCACUCUUCUGCAGGCAGGCCAGCAUCAGUUUGGGCGGUCGGACAAAGGCCUCUGACACGUACUUCCUUUCGGGGAUGACAUAUAGGGGAGGCGCAAUGCGACCAGCCCGGACUGAGGUCCGCGCAUCUGCUAGGAUGCUGGCGUAAUGGCUGUAAGCGGCCCGUCUUGAAACACGGACCAAGGAGUCUAACAUCUAUGCGAGUGUUUGGGUGUCAAGCCCGAGCGCGUAAUGAAAGUGAACGGAGGUGGGAACCCCUCGGGGCGCACCAUCGACCGAUCCUGAUGUCUUCGGAUGGAUUUGAGUAAGAGCAUAGCUGUUGGGACCCGAAAGAUGGUGAACUAUGCUUGAAUAGGGUGAAGCCAGAGGAAACUCUGGUGGAGGCUCGCAGCGGUUCUGACGUGCAAAUCGAUCGUCAAAUUUGGGC
rnacentral:rRNA from 1 species